CUGGUGUCAGCCGCCGCGGUAAUACCAGCUCUCCGAGUGGUAGGGAUGAUUAUUGGGCUUAAAGCGUUCGUAGCCGGCUUAGCAAGUCUCCUGUUAAAUUCAGCGACCCAAUCGUUGAGCCGCGGGGGAUACUACUAAGCUAGGAGGCGGAAGAGGUCAACGGUAUUCUCGGGGUAGGGGUGAAAUCCUAUAAUCCCGAGAGGACCACCAGUGGCGAAGGCUGUUGACUAGUACGCGCUCGACGGUGAGGGACGAAAGCUGGGGGAGCGAACCGGAUUAGAUACCCGGGUAGUCCCAGCUGUAAGCGAUGCGGGCUAGGUGUUGAGGUGGCUACGAGCCACUUCAGUGCCGCAGGGAAGCCAUUAAGCCCGCCGCCUGGGGAGUACGGCCGCAAGGCUGAAACUUAAAGGAAUUGGCGGGGGAGCACCACAAGGCGUGAAGCUUGCGGUUUAAUUGGAGUCAACGCCGGGAACCUUACCGGGGGCGACAGCAGAAUGAAGGCCAGAUUGAAGGUCUUGCUAGACAAGCU
rnacentral:rRNA from 1 species